UGAGGAAUAUUGCACAAUGGAGGAAACUCUGAUGCAGCAACGCCGCGUGGAGGAUGACGCAUUUCGGUGUGUAAACUCCUUUUAAGAGGGAAGAUAAUGACGGUACCUCUUGAAUAAGCACCGGCUAACUCCGUGCCAGCAGCCGCGGUAAUACGGAGGGUGCAAGCGUUACUCGGAAUCACUGGGCGUAAAGGGUGCGUAGGCUGACUUUUAAGUCAGGCGUGAAAUCCAAUGGCUUAACCAUUGAACUGCGCUUGAAACUGGGAGUCUAGAGUUCAGAAGGGGCAGAUGGAAUUAGUGGUGUAGGGGUAAAAUCCGUAGAUAUCACUAGGAAUAUCAAAAGCGAAGGCGAUCUGCUGCGAUGAUACUGACGCUGAGGCACGAAAGCGUGGGGAGCAAACA
rnacentral:rRNA from 1 species